rnacentral:rRNA from 1 species
UACGUAGGGUGCGAGCGUUGUCCGGAAUUAUUGGGCGUAAAGAGCUCGUAGGCGGUCUGUCGCGUCGAUCGUGAAAACUUGGGGCUUAACCCUGAGCUUGCGGUCGAUACGGGCAGACUAGAGUGUGGUAGGGGAGACUGGAAUUCCUGGUGUAGCGGUGAAAUGCGCAGAUAUCAGGAGGAACACCGGUGGCGAAGGCGGAUCUCUGGGCCGUAACUGACGCUGAGGAGCGAAAGCAUGGGGAGCGAACAGG